AGUAGGGGACCACUGCAGGUCCUCCACAGACUUGGUGUGGGAGCUGAAGGGUCGCUGGUCCACCGUCCAGGUGGCGCCUCCUUCCCGUGGCUCCCACACAUGGAUGUUCUUCUUACAGUCCCCACUGGCUAAACGGCCUGGUAUUUUAGGGGACCAAUCCAGUGCAAAGCCUUCAGUCAUGUGGCCUGAGAAACUAAAGAGGGGCUUGGUUUCUUUCUGGUUUUUAAUAAAUUCAGCCAUGGCAGUUGAGCUGUGGACAGCUUCCAACGCGGCUUUUAGGUCAAAUAUUUCCACCUGGCCUUUAUCCGACCACACGGCAGCCAGAGGCCGCUCUGACCAUUGGGUGACCUGAAGGAAAAUAAUCUUAGUCUCCAUUUGAAAACAUUAUCAAAGUCCAUUCAUGUCAGCAAAACUAAUUCCCCCCCCCCCCCCUCAAGCACAAUGAGACAAGAUAACAGGUUAAAAAGGAAGGCCAUGGCAGGGGUACAAGUCUUCAUCUGUUAAAAAUUGAAAUGCUUCGUUUCAUACAAAA